UACAGAGGGGGCAAGCGUUGUUCGGAAUUACUGGGCGUAAAGGGCGCGUAGGCGGUCUUGUAAGUCUUGUGUGAAAUCCCUCGGCUUAACUGAGGAACUGCACGGGAUACUGCGAGACUUGAGAUCGGGAGAGGGAAGCGGAAUUCCGGGUGUAGCGGUGAAAUGCGUAGAUAUCCGGAGGAACACCGGUGGCGAAGGCGGCUUCCUGGACCGACACUGACGCUGAGGCGCGAAAGCUAGGGGAGCAAACGGG
rnacentral:rRNA from 1 species